GCCAUAGGCCAUAUCUCCCUAAACAUGUCUCAUCUUGCCUGAUCUCAGAAACUAAACAGGUUUAGGCCUGGUUAGUAUUUGGAUGGGAGAAAAGGGAGGAGUAUUUGAAU
rnacentral:rRNA from 1 species